rnacentral:tRNA from 1 species
GCCACUGUGGCAUAGUGGUUUGAGUGCUGGACUAUGACUCUGGAGAUCAGGGUUCGAUUCCCCACUCAGCCACG